rnacentral:rRNA from 1 species
GCGACCCCAGGUCAGGUGGACAGCCGGAUGG